GACGAACGCUGGCGGCAUGCCUAUACAUGCAAGUCGAGCGAACAGAUGAAGUGCUUGCACUUCUGACGUUAGCGGCGAACGGGUGAGUAACACAUAAGGAAUCUACCUAUAAGCGGGGGAUAACAUUCGGAAACGGGUGCUAAUACCGCAUAAUAUCUUCCUCCGCAUGGAAGAAGAUUGAAAGACGGCUCUGCUGUCACUUAUAGAUGACCUUGCGGUGCAUUAGUUAGUUGGUGGGGUAACGGCCUACCAAGACGAUGAUGCAUAGCCGACCUGAGAGGGUGAUCGGCCACAUUGGGACUGAGACACGGCCCAAACUCCUACGGGAGGCAGCAGUAGGGAAUCUUCCGCAAUGGGCGAAAGCCUGACGGAGCAAUGCCGCGUGAGUGAAGAAGGCCUUCGGGUCGUAAAACUCUGUUAUAAGAGAAGAACAAAUUGUAGAGUAACUGCUACAGUCUUGACGGUAUCUUAUCAGAAAGCCACGGCUAACUACGUGCCAGCCGCCGCCGUAA
rnacentral:rRNA from 1 species